rnacentral:rRNA from 1 species
GAUGAACGCUGGCGGCGUGCUUAACACAUGCAAGUCGAACGAAGCACUUUUACAGAUUUCUUCGGAAUGAAGUUUUAGUGACUGAGUGGCGGACGGGUGAGUAACGCGUGGGUAACCUGCCUCACACAGGGGGAUAACAGUUGGAAACGGCUGCUAAUACCGCAUAAGCGCACAGUACCGCAUGGUACAGUGUGAAAAACUCCGGUGGUGUGAGAUGGACCCGCGCCUGAUUAGCUAGUUGGCAGGGCAACGGCCUACCAAGGCGAGGAUCAGUAGCCGACUGGAGAGGGUGACCGGCCACAUUGGGACGGAGGAACGGCCCAAACUCUUACGGGAGGCAGCAGUGGGAAUAUUGCACAAUGGGGGAAACCCUGAUGCAGCGACGCCGCGUGAGCGAAGAAGUAUUUCGGUAUGUAAAGCUCUGUCAGCAGGGAAGAAGAAAUGACGGUACCUGACUAAGAAGCACCGGCUAAAUACGUGCCAGCAGCCGCCGUAA